rnacentral:rRNA from 1 species
CCUACGGGCGGCAGCAGUGGGGAAUAUUGGACAAUGGGGGGAACCCUGAUCCAGCCAUGCCGCGUGUGUGAAGAAGGCCCUCGGGUUGUAAAGCACUUUCAGUGAGGAAGAACGCCUGGUGGUUAAUACCCAUCAGGAAAGACAUCACUCACAGAAGAAGCACCGGCUAACUCCGUGCCAGCAGCCGCGGUAAUACGGAGGGUGCGAGCGUUAAUCGGAAUUACUGGGCGUAAAGCGCGCGUAGGUGGCUUGAUAAGCCGGUUGUGAAAGCCCCGGGCUCAACCUGGGAACGGCAUCCGGAACUGUCAAGCUAGAGUGCAGGAGAGGAAGGUAGAAUUCCCGGUGUAGCGGUGAAAUGCGUAGAGAUCGGGAGGAAUACCAGUGGCGAUGGCGGCCUUCUGGACUGACACUGACACUGAGGUGCGAAAGCGUGGGUAGCAAACAGGAUUAGAUACCCGAGUAGUC